UCCCAAUUCCUAGUUCUCUACUUAUAUCAAAACAACAAUGGCAAAGAUUAAAAAACACUGGAUUCUUGCUUAUUGCUUGCAAAACUGACUAGUUAACAUAACAAUAGUACCUCUACACCUCACCUACAAGUAGGAAUGAUUUCUUCCUCUACAUCUCUUGUCCACAAGGACCACUCCAACUGCACUGCUAUUAGAUGUACCUAGUUUCAAACCUCUCCAUCAUUCUCUCCCAAGUUUUCAAAUGUCUUGAAAACAUUUACAUAAUAUUAUUGCAGUAAAAUGACUUUGAUCAUAUAGAUAGAAGUCACAUUACUCCACCACAAUAUAGCCUUUAUGUUUCUACUUGUUCUAUUUGUUUUCUGUAUGAGUGUGUGAUUCUAGUAUCUGUUGUAGACUUUUACAUUCUAUCGGUAUGAAUGAGCUAGGAAAAUUUAGUUAUGGGUAUUGUUGAAACUAUCGAGUUUCUUUUGUUGGUUUAAAAUGAAAUUGAGAUUUCUAUUCAAUUUGAGGAAAGUUCUGGAAUAAUAUGUUUGUUACACUUGUAGCAUGUUGGACCUAAAACUCUAGAGGUCUUUGCAUUGCUUGAUUUUUUGAGGUUUUCUCCCCAUAUUUUGACAAUACUGUGCCUAUUUGUCGAGACAAGGUAGAAAAUAAUUAAAAUUUUAAGCAUCUUAUUGUCUUCAAUUGGAUGUGGUACUUAAUUUUGAGCAUGGUGGAGACUUCUUUUUGGCAUUUGGUUGCUUUAUAAUUCACCUCUGUUUGGGUUCAAAGUUUAGAAGACAUGAAACUUCUUGUAGUCAUUUUUUUUUUAAAAUAAUAUAUAUAAACAUAUUUUCUCAGUCUAUCAAAUUAUUUGUAAGAUUAUUGUUGCUUUUGUCUGUCUAUCAAAUUUCAUUUUUCUUUCUUUCUCUCAUUCAAUGCCCUCACUCUCGCACUUUCUCACUCUCUUUUUUGUUUCUUUUCAUUUCAUCUCUCUUAAUUAGCGAUACUGACGCACCUUAACAUUCUGAGAUCAGGGUUCUAGGGAGGAACCGUUUACAGGUGAAUUCCAAUUUGCAGUGGUGAAUAUCAAAGCUUUCAAGAGAUUUCGUUUUGUCCACACAUGGAAAAACCAGGAUCAUCUUCCUUUGGUAGUCCUAUAUACUCUCCUCAAAUGCAUGUUCACCUUUCAAAGAAAGAGAAGAAGAAGAAGAAGAAGAAGAAGAAGAAGAAGAAGAAGUAAAAAGGUAAAAGUACCAUUGGAAAAAAAAAAGAAAAGGACCAUAAGGACAAUUUAUAUCCAAGUUUGUGAUCUAGGAAUUUGAUUGUUUUGACAUUGGCUUCUUUUUAAUUUUUAAAUAUUUUUUUCAUAGUGGUUAAGAGACUUUUAUCUCCAUUGAAAAGGACAAUAGAAAGUAGCCUUCAUUAAAUACCUAACAAGUUGUAUAUAUCUAAGUUUGUGAUCUAGGAACCUGGUUUGGAAGAUAACUUUCACUCCCUCUAUAAUGCCUUCAAUUGUCAACAAUAAUAGGUAUGGUUAUAGUGUUGGCGGUUGGUGACAGUGCUGUAAUAAUGGAGGAGUUGGGUGAGGAAAGAAGAUAAGGGGAGGACUUGUGAGAAAUCUAUCAACACAUAAAAGAAAACUGAAAAUUUAUCAUCUUGACCUUUAAACUGUACAUUCUGAAUAAUUUUCUAAUUUCUUUUUCUAUGUAUCUAUCUAGACAUGCUCUUAACAACAUCUUGGUAAUGUAUGAAUUUUUUAUUUAUUACCUCAUUCAUUGAUAACACUGAAUUUUAACACUCUUAGAUGCUAAUAAAAUCUCAAAAAUUAAUUGCUACAAUUAUUAUUUUGGUUGUCUUGAAAUCUUGAUUUUUACUUCUACAAUAUUGGAUGACUUGAUUGUUGAACUAUUCUAUGUUUAUAUUCAUUACUGUUUCAUUUCAAAAUUUGAUGGUUUUAAAUAUUACAAGUGAUGCUUCUUCAAGUUUUAAGUAUUGUGCAUAAGUAUUGGGUACAAAUUCUUCAAUUUAUUUUUAUUUUCGCGAAUCUGAUUGCAGUUUAUAUUCUGAUGUAGGCAUGUAGACCAGUGAAGACUAACAAUGAACUCUCUCAUUAAUUUGAAUUUAACUCUUCCAAGCUUGAAAUUUAUGUUAUAAGCAAGAAUAGAUUUUUGAAACACAAUCUAGUAAAGUUCAAUAGAGUCUCUUACUCUGAUGAUAUCUUGAGUUGGGGAUAAUUUUUGUGGUAAUAAUUUGCCAUCACUUGUAUAGUUAGAUCCAUCAUUAUAGCUCAACACUUCUUUUUCUGCUAAUGUCUUUACUAAAACAUGAUUUGUAGAUAUGUUAUUUUGUGGCUAAAGGUGAUUGGAUAUUAAAUU